CAGUAGCCGCGGGAAUACGAAGGGGGCUAGCGUUGCUCGGAAUGACUGGGCGUAAAGGGCGCGUAGGCGGCGAUCAAAGUCAGGCGUGAAAUUCCUGGGCUCAACCUGGGGGCUGCGUUUGAUACUUGAUUGCUAGAGUGGGGAAGAGGGUCGUGGAAUUCCCAGUGUAGAGGUGAAAUUCGUAGAUAUUGGGAAGAACACCGGUGGCGAAGGCGGCGACCUGGUCCUCGACUGACGCUGAGGCGCGAAAGCAUGGGGAGCAAACAGGAUUAGAUACCCCUGUAGUCCCUGUCUCUUAUAA
rnacentral:rRNA from 1 species